AUGAAGACGAAGACGAAGAAGGGAGGGACGGGGAGGAAUAAGAGGAACGAGACGAAGCUCAUCGAGGACCCGGCCAAGCGGCAGGUGGCCUUCUCCAAGCGCCGCCCCACGCUCUUCGGCAUGGCCGGCGACCUCUCCGCGCUCUGCGGCGUCCACGUCGCCGUCGUCGUCUUUUCACGCUCCGCGCGCGGCAACGCCUACGCCUUCGGCAGCCCCUCCGUCGACGCCGUCCUCCGACGCUACCACGGCAACGUCCAAGAUGAUGACGACCAUGGUGAUGACGAUGACGAUGCUGGCGCUCUGGCGGGGUUGCGGAGCGAGCUGGACGACACCAAGGCGCGUGUGGAGGCGGAGAAGAAGCGCAUGAAGAAAGUCGAGGCGAACGUGGAGCGGGCCAUGGCGGCAAGGUCAACUGCGCUGUGGUGGCAGGCCGACGUCGAGGCUCUCGGGGCAGCGGAGCUGCCAGAGUUCGAGACGGCGCUCCGGCGGCUCAGGGACACCCUCCUCCGCCGGGUCGACGCGCUGCAGCUACCUCUAGCCGCUGCACCGCCUGCCUACAUGAACAUGUAG
rnacentral:rRNA from 1 species